GUCCAUCGCUAAAUCAUUUUGCCUCAGGCAUUAUGAGGUGUAGCGUAUAAGUCGUAAUUUUUGAUCAGUUAUCUCAAACAAGUCCCCUUGACAGGGGUUCCAAAGAAGGUGCAAGUCCUGUACAUUGAGAUUUCUGAUUGAUAUUUACGUGCUUUAGAGUCGGGUUGCUUGGAAUCGCAGCCCAAAGUCGGUGGUAAACUUCAUCUAAGACUUAAUAUUGCCACGAGUCCGAUAGCAAACAAGUACUGUGAAGGAAAGUUGAAAAGCACUUUGAAGAGAGAGUUAAAGAGGACGUGAAACCGGUGAGGUGGAAACGGAUAGAGUCGGCGUAUCUUUCAAGUAUUCAUUUACAAUUUUAUCGUAUUGUGAUUUCUGAGCUCCAGAUUGGGACAGUUUUUACUUUAUUGUAAAAUUGUGAUGCAUUUGCUUGUUUGGUGCGUAGGGAUGUUUGAAAUAGAUUUGUGACCUCCGUUUUGAGGCCAGCUUGCUGGUACCCAAACGGUGUUAGCAUUUUUUAUUUUGGAUAUUUGAGUAUGGCUUACGGGCGUUUAUUGGUUCGAUCUGAGUGUAAGUUACGGUCGCAUGCGACACGUGCUUUUCAGUUAGUUCGGUCCAGUUAAUGCUCUCAUACUCUUUCCCUAUGUAAAAGCCGGUCAUCUAUCCGACCCGUCUUGAAACACGGACCAAGGAGUUUAUCGUGUGCGCAAGUUUUUGGGUGUUUAAAACCUAAAAGCGCAAUGAAAGUAAAUGUUCUCUUUCGAGACUGAUGUGCGAUAUUUUCCGUCAAGGAAGAUUGCAGCAUGGCCCCAUUCUAUCUGUUUACAGAAGGGUGGCGGAAGAGCGUACGCGGUGAGACCCGAAAGAUGGUGAACUAUUCCUGAGCAGGAUGAAGCCAGAGGAAACUCUGGUGGAAGUCCGAAGCGGUUCUGACGUGCAAAUCGAUCGUCUGACUUGGGUAUAGGGGCGAAAGACUAAUCGAACCAUC
rnacentral:rRNA from 1 species